rnacentral:antisense_RNA from 1 species
GCUUAUGGCGGGGUGCAAUGGGAGGCCUACGGGCCUGCCGGGUUCCUUGAGUACCGGUUCGCCAACCCGUUGCAUCCCGCCGCCCAU